GAGGAAUAUUGGGCAAUGCCCGCAAGGGUGACCCAGCAACGCCGCGUGGAGGAUGAAUGUCGUAAGAUUGUAAACUCCUGUUAGAGGGGAAGAAUAGUACCGGUUGGACCGGUAUAUGACUGUACCCUCAGAGAAAGCCCCGGCUAACUACGUGCCAGCAGCCGCGGUAAUACGUAGGGGGCAAGCGUUGUCCGGAUUUACUGGGUGUAAAGGGCGCGCAGGCGGGAUAAAAAGUCAGUGGUGAAAUCCUACAGCUUAACUGUAGAACUGCCUUUGAUACUUUUAUUCUUGGGUUCGGGAGAGAGAGACGGAAUUCCAGGUGUAGUGGUGAAAUACGUAGAUAUCUGGAAGAACACCAGUUGCGAAGGCGGUCUCUUGGUCCGACACUGACGCUGAGGCGCGAAAGCGUGGGGAGCAAACA
rnacentral:rRNA from 1 species